GGAUGAGCACUCGUCAGCCCCUGCUGUGAGCCAUGCUCAGGGCAGAGUGACAAUGCUUCAGACAGCACUGGUGAGGGCAGAAAACAUGUUGAGUCUCGAAAAAGAUGAAGCUCACUCUGCCUAGCAAGGUGGCUCGCCAGGGCUUGCUGCUGGCUAGGGAAAGAAACCUUUUUUGUUUGUUCGUUUUUGUUUUCAAGUCUUUUUAGCAAACUCCUUUUCUUUCUGAGCUUAAUGAGAUGGUGAAGAGGCAGUGCCUGCUCUCAACCAAUCUCAGUGAUCCUUUGUGGUUGGGAUGUUUUGCUCUGAUUGCCCAAGCAGCCUUUUAGCGGCCUGAAGGCCACCUUCGAGAAGCAGUUGAUUCAGCACAGGUCUUGCAGUGCAUUUCACUUAGAGUUCGGCAUCUCUGGGCUCUGUGCUUGAAGAUCAGUUAUUUCCCAGUCAGUCGACAGGAGGAAGACAGCAGGGGAGGGCAAGCUAGGGGGAGAUGGAGGGAGACAGCCCUUGUCAGCUGUAUGCUCUUUCUUUUCUUUGGGCAUAAACAUCACCAGGCUGAGUGUAUUUUGCAGCUCAUCCAUUCUGAAAUCCCUCUGUCCUCCCAAUUUUCUACUAGCUCUCAAUUGCAUCAGUCAACAUAAAACUCACUUGAAGUUUAGAAUGGGCCAUCAUCUGCUGAGUAGAAAAUAUAACCAGUCCCAGUGAUACACUUUAGGUUUUUUAACUUUUUUUUUUUUUUAACAGAGACUUUUAAAGGUAAAACUUGGAAAACAGAAGUAGUCACAUGAAUUGGGCCACUGUUUAAUUGCUGAGCUAUUUGGAGGGAACUUUUAAAACUUUUUAGGGGCCCUCCUUGGCCACUGUGGGAAAAUAGUUGUGAAUAGAUGACUUAUAGGGAAUCCUUCUCAUCAGAACUGCAGAGAUUUCUUAGUCCUUUGCAACCUUGGACUGCAAGAGAAACAGUUGCAAUGUGCUGUCUCUUUGGGGUUGCGCUGGGGACAUUUCCCCUCGAUACCACAAAGUCAUUCCUAGUUUUUGAGGUCAGUGUUAGGUCGUAAGGUACUGCAUUUAGCAAAGGAAUCAGUCUACCAACUUCCUGCAAAGAUAUAAACUGCACAGUUUUUUUUUUUAAAUUACUUUUUAAAUAAAUUUCAAGAGUAAGUAGAUCUUUAUAUAAAUAUAUAUUUAUAAUGUUU
rnacentral:lncRNA from 1 species